rnacentral:rRNA from 1 species
UACGUAGGGGGCGAGCGUUGUCCGGAAUUACUGGGCGUAAAGGGUGCGUAGGCGGUUAAUCAAGUCAGAUGUGAAAUCCCCGGGCUCAACUCGGGUAUUGCAUUUGAAACUGGAUGACUAGAGUGCAGGAGAGGGAAGCGGAAUUCCUAGUGUAGCGGUGAAAUGCGUAGAUAUUAGGAGGAACACCAGUGGCGAAGGCGGCUUUCUGGACUGUAACUGACGCUGAGGCACGAAAGCGUGGGGAGCAAACAGG